GGGCCCGCACAAGCGGAGGAACAUGUGGUUUAAUUCGAUGAUACGCGAGGAACCUUACCCGGGCUUAAAUUAUAGUAGAAUAACCAGGAAACUGGUUAGCCGCAAGGCUGCUAUGAAGGUGCUGCAUGGUUGUCGUCAGCUCGUGCCGUGAGGUGUCGGCUUAAGUGCCAUAACGAGCGCAACCCUUAUCGUUAGUUACUAACAAGUUAUGUUGAGGACUCUAACGAGACUGCCGUCGUAAGAUGUGAGGAAGGUGGGGAUGACGUCAAAUCAGCACGGCCCUUACGUCCGGGGCUACACACGUGUUACAAUGGGGGGUACAGCAGGUUGCUACCUGGUGACAGGAUGCUAAUCUCCAAACCUCUCUCAGUUCGGAUCGAAGUCUGCAACCCGACUUCGUGAAGCUGGAUUCGCUAGUAAUCGCGCAUCAGCCACGGCG
rnacentral:rRNA from 1 species